rnacentral:rRNA from 1 species
CCCCAGGUCAGGCGGGACUACCCGCU